rnacentral:lncRNA from 1 species
CAAAAAUUUGUUCCAAUUUCCUAAAAUUUGUAAAAAUUUAAAGCCCAAAAACACACUUUUAGCUGUCAAAAUGAUGAAACUUUGACCCACCAUUACUAUGAUUGUGUUUCAAGUAGAGACGUGCUAUGGCUCGUUGGAAUCGCUGAAAUGUUUUCUAUCUAAGAGUCAUUUAUUAUUGGUUGAAAAUCAUCAAGAUGGUUUCAAAUGGGUGGCUCGUAUAUUGCUUGAAAAACAAAAUCAAUGCUAUUUUUCAAGCAAUAUACGAGAGCUAUCGCUCUAUUGGUCAUUGGGCGUAGUUUGAAGUGAAGCAGUUGGUCUGAUUGGUCUCCUUUGAUCAGUGUUGCUAGGUUCGAUCGCCAUCUU